rnacentral:hammerhead_ribozyme from 1 species
AUCCAGCUGAUGAGUCCCAAAUAGGAUGAAACGCGCUUCCUGGAU